UAAUGAUUUUAAUUUUUUUUAAAUUUCUAAACUGAGUAAACACUACAUGUCUACGUUAUCUUUCUUCCCUUAUUCCUUUUGACAUUUAGUAUUCUUUUGAAGCCAUAACUUGAAGAGCCACGCUCUCCACUGUCAAGUGUCACAACGGUACAAGUCAUGCAGCUCAUUCAUCAAAGAUUUCCCAACAUGCCUCCUACAUGUCCAUUAUGCCAGGAAGAAAACGAAACAAUAAACCAUUGUAUAUUUCAGUAUGAAAAUGCGAAACUGAUAUGGCAAAAGGUAGAAAUGGAAGCAUAUAUACCUGGAUCUAGGAUAAUUAACUUCUUUGAUUGGUGGAAUUCAAUAGUAAGUCUUCUAGAACGCCAACCAAAUGGAGGCAGCAGGCUCCUGCUCACGGCGAUUCUGAUUUGGAGUAUCUAGAAAGAACAAAAUCAAAGGGUAUUUGAGCAACGAGCUACUCCUCCAGAAGUGAUUGCCACCAAUGCUGCCAAACAUCACCAAGAAAUCCUUGCUUGUCCGCUGCAUCUUCAACGUUAGUUCCGUCUUCAACUUUCCCUUUCUUCUUUAGUUUAUUUAAUUACCUUAUCUCA